UUUUGGACAAUGGGGGCAACCCUGAUCCAGCAAUGCCGCGUGAGUGAAGAAGGCCUUCGGGUUGUAAAGCUCUUUUGUCAGGGAAGAAACACCGGCUCUAACACAGUCCGGGAAUGACGGUACCUGAAGAAUAAGCACCGGCUAACUACGUGCCAGCAGCCGCGGUAAUACGUAGGGUGCAAGCGUUAAUCGGAAUUACUGGGCGUAAAGCGUGCGCAGGCGGUUAUACAAGACAGGCGUGAAAUCCCCGGGCCUAACCUGGGAAUGGCGCCUGUGACUGUAUAGCUAGAGUGUGUCAGAGGGGGGUAGAAUUCCACGUGUAGCAGUGAAAUGCGUAGAUAUGUGGAGGAAUACCAAUGGCGAAGGCAGCCCCCUGGGAUAACACUGACGCUCAUGCACGAA
rnacentral:rRNA from 1 species